GAAUGCAUGAGUUCCGAGUGGGCCGUUUUUGGUAAGCAGAACUUGGGAUGGUAGAUGAACCGAGAGUCGGGUUAAAGUGCAAUAGUUGCGGCCAACGGAUACCAUAAAAUGGGUUUGUCAAUUACGACAGUGAGGCUGUGAUCCUAUAAGCAGGUAUCAGCUAAGAAGUGUGCAACAACUUAGAUGAUGAAAAACCACUUAAUAAAUUAAUUAAUAUUUAGUUUUUAAACCUUGAGGUCUCGCCAACGCGGUCGUAUCCUCUUCUUGUUCCUUGGGGGGUAAGUG
rnacentral:ncRNA from 1 species